GGAAGAAUUCUACGGGCCAAGAUUACGGGGGAAUGUACUGUGCAGUACUAGUUGUCAACUCAUUUGUUGUAUCAGCUGGAAUACUUAGAAUUUUUGGGCAAGAAGUUGCUGAACUUCCUUUAGUUGCAACGAGUAAUGGAAACCAUGGGAAGGGCUAUUUCCAAUUAUUAUUCUCCUGCAUCGAGAAGUUGCUGGCUUUUUUAAACGUUCAGAGCCUUGUGCUCCCAGCUGCUGAAGAAGCAGAAUCUAUAUGGACUGAUAAAUU
rnacentral:misc_RNA from 1 species